CACACUUUAAAGCGGGAAACAUUUUACUGGGGGUUGGAUAUAUGUUUUGACCUUUGACUGGCGGCGAAUGACAAAUCAAAGGUCGGCAUUUCCAAGCGCUGCAGCCGGGGUCCAUUCAUGUCCGCGGACGGUGUUGUGGAGAUAAUGACAGAAGGUGCUCUGAAAGUUGGUCGAUAGCAGCGGAGACUUCAAUAACGGGAGCCGGAGUGGAAGCCUACACGGCGGCUCGAUAGCAGCGACCCUAGGAGGACCGAAGGCAGGCCCGCUGUGCGAGGACGACUACAGCACCAUGGAGAGCUCAGAUAUGGAUGCUAACUAUGGCGGAGGGCUCCUGGACAUGGUGAAGGGCGGAGCCGGCAAGUUCUUCAGCAACUUCAAGGACAACCUGAAGGACACGUUGAAGGACACCUCCACUAAAGUCAUGCACCAGGUGGCCAC